CUGAUCUACACAAAACAUUGCUAUAAGUCUGCAGAAGCCUAAGUUCAUGUUAGGAUCAGUGGCACAACCAAUGUGUACCACUUGCCAAAAGCUUCACCUGCUGUCCUAUGGCUGACAGCCAUCAGCACAGUGAGCAUUUGUCAUGUUGGACCCAGCUGCUUCCCAGCCUUACUCUCUCUUCAGCACCAAGUCCUGACAUUUUGACUGAGGCCAUUCCUGUUUUACCUCAGUGAUGCUUCACUCUUUUUUGGUUUCUGUCUGCCCCACAGAAAGAAGUAGGGGGUGGAACCCGCAGCUUUUCUUGGGAAAAAGAAACUGCUCAGCUUUCUUAGCCUAGAAAGGGGCUGCCAGCUGCAUGUCCAAAACUGGUUCCAUGGGAUCCAGACACAGAGCAGUUCCUGCCUGCCUCGCCUGUGCCAAAGCUAAUGAGAAAACAUCAGGCAAGUUUCAAAACUGGGAACAUAGUGUUACAUCAGUGUUUCCUGCCCCAUUGAAAUAGUUUUUGAAAGUAGCUGCUAAAUCACCAGUUCCUGUUGUAGGGCCUGUCAGAGCUGCUGAUCUCCAACUGGAAGUAGGCCAUGAAGGCACAGCGCUAGUGUUAGUAAUUUCUGAAGUGUCUAUAAUGCCCUCUUGGAGGCACAUGCCACCUGUGUGUCCCAGGACAUAGCCCAGAGGUGUUUUUUCAUUACAAGUAUUGGAGAAUCUCCAACCUGGCUGAUUUUGAGCCAGUGGGCUCCACAAGUAAAAGUUGUUUACAAGGAAGUAGCUAAGACAAACCAACUUUAUACAUGUUCUGUAUUUGUUGAUGAUAAAAAAUAGGAAAUGGGUGGGCAAGGCUGUCACUAUGUCAUGUCUGUCAAACUCUAGGCACAGCCAAGGAAAAGUUGUAAAGACAGUGCAAUUUGAUGAUAAAAUUUAUCAUACUGCCUUACACGUUAAUUGCAAUUAGAGCAUCAGACUUGCCACCUCACAUCAUCCUGUAGGCACUUCUAGACCCGCAUUUGGUUGCCAUAUGUCAGGCCUGAGGUGUUGUAGCAUGGCAUUGCAACAGUAAAUGUGCUUGGGACCAAAGUUUGGACACACUACAAAACCCUGUUGGCUGCAUCAGGACAAAAGGAGAUAAACCCCCCCCCCCUUUCAGGAUGAAAGCAGAGCUGGA
rnacentral:lncRNA from 1 species